AACGAACGCUGGCGGCAGGCUUAACACAUGCAAGUCGAACGCCCCGCCAGGGGAGUGGCAGACGGGUGAGUAACGCGUGGGAACAUACCCUUUUCUACGGAAUAGCUCUGGGAAACUGGAAUUAAUACCGUAUACGCCCUACGGGGGAAAGAUUUAUCGGGGAAGGAUUGGCCCGCGUUGGAUUAGCUCGUUGGUGGGGUAAAGGCCUACCAAGGCGACGAUCCAUAUCUGGUCUGAGAGGAUGAUCAGCCACAUUGGGACUGAGACACGGCCCAAACUCCGAGGCGAGGGAGCAGUGGGGAAUAUAGGACGAUGGGCGCAAGCCUGAUCCAGCCAUGCCGCGUGAGUGAUGAAGGCCUUAGGGUUGUAAAGCUCUUUCACCGAUGAAGAUAAUGACGGUAGUCGGAGAAGAAGCCCCGGCUAACUACGUG
rnacentral:rRNA from 1 species